GCCAGGUGUGGUGGCGCACACCUGUAAUCCCAGCUACUCCGGAGGCUGAGGUGGGAGAAUCGCUUGAACCCGGGAGGAGGAGGUUGCAGUGAGCUGAGAUUGUGCCACUGCACUCCAGCCUGGGCCACAGAGCAAGACUCCGCCUCAA
rnacentral:SRP_RNA from 2 species